rnacentral:rRNA from 1 species
GUAAACGAUGUGCACUAGAUCGAGGAGGUUCUGACACCAUUCUCGGUCGAAGUAAAAACGUUGAGUGCACCGCCUGGGGAGUACGGUCGCAAGGCUAAAACUCAAAGGAAUUGACGGGGGCUCACACAAGCGGUGGAGCAUGUGGCUUAAUUCGAAGCAACGCGAAGAACCUUAUCCUGGGUUUGACAUGCAUGGAUUAGCGCCUGGAAACAGGCGUGACGCUCUUGUAGUGGAACAUGCACAGGUGCUGCAUGGCUGUCGUCAGCUCGUGCUGUGAAGUGUCGGGUUAAGUCCCUUAACGAGCGAAACCCCUGUCACUAGUUGCCAACAGGUAAUGCUGGGGACUCUAGUGAGACUGCCGGUGUCAAACCGGAGGAAGGUGGGGAUGACGUCAAGUCCUCAUGGCCUUUAUGGGUAGGGCUUCACACGUCAUACAAUGGUACAUACAGAGGGCCGCCAACCCGCGAGGGGGAGCUAAUCCCAGAAAGUGUAUCGUAGUCCGGAUUGUAGUCUGCAACUCGACUACAUGAAGUUGGAAUCGCUAGUAAUCGCGGAUCAGCAUGUCGCGGUGAAUACGUUCCCGGGUCUUGUACACACCGCCCGUCACACCAUGGGAGCGGGUUUUACCAGAAGUAGGUAGCUUAACCGCAAGGAGGGCGCUUACCACGGUAGGAUUCGUGACUGGGGUGAAGUCGUAACAAGGUAACC